GUAGGGUCUCAGGGCGACCCCAGCAGCCUGGAAACGAGGCGGGCUUCCCAUAUGUCACUUCUAAGUAGGAUAUUGGAGGAAUGAAGAGGUCUAAAUGACACGUUAAGGUCCAAGCUCACCCGUGAAUCAGAACUUACCGGAGGCCACGGAGGCUGUUACCGCGAGGAAACUCUAGUCCUGGCGGAAGACCAACUUCUAGCAGAUCCCCUUACCCUGGCUCUAGUCCACUAGCUCCUUCCUAGUCACAACCGAACUCACGGGGCGGAGGCCCUUAAGGAGCACUCGCAUCCUUCAAUCGCCGACUAGAAGCUCGCCCGGUGGGCGGAGCCGUGCCAGCUCAGGGCAGAGCGAGGAGGCAGAAGUCUCCGCCUUCCUCAAGCUUGGUUGAGAAGUCCACCUGCAGUUGCAAAGUACGGCUGUUUGAAAGCGGGCGCCAGAGGUGGCGGGAAGCUCCCCCUGUGCGCCCAUUGGUGGAUUCGAGAGCCAAUUACGAGGAAGUCACCCCGGAGUGGGCGGGCUGAUCGGUUGCCUAGAGACGCCGAGGCGCUUCACCCGCUACCUUCGGCCAGGGUGCAGCAGUCUUACGGGGACCCCUUGCCCGUUUGGUACCGGAGACUGCAAAGGUGACUCGUGCCUCCUGCGCUUCAGCACACAGAAUCCCGCAGAUUCCCCACCGAACUCUUGCCUUAGAGGUUUUUUACAUUUGCCCUUGUUUUCUAAGGCGCCUGCUUCCCCAUUAUUUAACAGCCUUAGAUAUUUUGCUUU
rnacentral:lncRNA from 1 species